rnacentral:tRNA from 1 species
AGAGAGGUAGUUUAAAAAAAAUGCUUGUUUGUGGCACAAGAGAUGUCCUGUUGACUCUUUCUU